rnacentral:lncRNA from 1 species
GAAGAGUUCUACUCUAUCUGAACUUUUUUCAAUUUGAAGGAGGAUCGGAUCUGUUGUAGAGAUUAGCUCAGCGACAGAUGAGCUAUGAUAGAUCAUCUAUGAUCGAGGUACUGGAAUCCAUGGAGUAGGUGCUUGUCCUCUUACUGGCUGAAAUAGGUCGGUUAUGUAUGAGCUAUUGUAGGUCAUCGAAAAUUGAGGUU